GUAUUGGACCGAAAAUCAUUCUUUCUCUUCCUCCUCCAUCUCGAUCUCUCUCUCGAUUCUGCUCUGGCGAUCCUGCUCUCAAUCUUCGUCGGGGUUAUGAUUGAUAUUACAAAGGCGAUCCUCGAUCGAUCACUUCAUCUUCUCUUUCAGGGUUGAAAGACGAUUCUUUUUUGUUUCACUGAGAAGCCUCAAAAAAAGAAGGAAAGAUAGAGACAGAGAAGCAUAUCGGGUCUCUGUAAACAUUUCUCCUUCGACCAUGAAUGAUCUCGAGAAGGUGUAUCCGUGGAGACAAAGGUUCUCGUGGAGACGUUUCUAUCCUCCCAACACUUGUGGUACUACUCAGAGCGACACUAGAAGGUGGACCCAAUGUUACAUAAGAAGACAGUAGAGUGUAAUAUGGUCUUAGAUGAAAGCACGACAUGUGACAGAAGAAGACAAAAAAAAAUACUUGUUGGUACGUUGGUCUCGGUUUUGUGUUUCCAUGUGAAGAAGAAGAAGACAAACGUAAACUUGCAAGUUGUUUUCAUAAACAUGCUCACGCUUUCUCUUUAUAAACGAGUGUAAAAUAACAAGUUGUAUUUAUAAACAUUGCCAUUUCUCUCUUUCUAAAGGUUGUCAUCUCUCUCUUUAUAAACAUUUCCAUUUCUCUCUUUAUAAACGAGUGUAAAAGAACAAUUUCUAUUUUGUUUUUUCCUUACCA